UGCAAUGUUUCCAUCAUCUUGACCUCUUUCUCUCUUGUCCUCCACAUUUCAUCAGUUAUCAAGGCCUUAUGAUUAUUCUUUCAUAAUUUCCCUCCACCAUCGGUGUCAUGGAAUGGAAGCAGGAACUGGAUAAUUCACCCAUUAUUAACUGAAGACACUGUUACCUCACUAGCCUAAGGAACGCUCAGAUAAUUUCCUCCAUGUUCCAUGGCAUUUGUGCCUUAGACUUUCCCCUUUGAGUGCUAAGAAUUCAAGAUCAUCAGAUGAAAACCAAGCAAACAAAGCUUCCCUGAGGGGAUUCCUCCCACACUCCAAGAACAGCUAGAAGAAGGAGGGAGGAGAAGGUCAGAAGAGCACAGGGGUGGUAACAGCUCUUCUGAGCCUCAACCCAAUGCCAGAGAAGGAGGUCCAACCACUCUGUCAGUUGUGUGGAGAAGGAAUUAAGGAGGAGGAGAAGAAUGGAAGCAGGGGCACCUGGGAGGAGACCCCUGGUUGUGACAGGAGCACUUGGUGAGCACCGGCAUUGAUGUGGGGACGAGAGAGGGCACCGGGUCUCUGAAGGCAGAGACGUCCUACUGCUUUCCUCACUCCUGUACUUCCAGUGCCUGUGACCGUGCCUGGCGAAUAACUAGUCUUCGGAUCCUGCGAGCACAGCACAGACAUUACCUCCCUGGGCUUCCAAACACCUCUGUGAGCUUAGGAUCAAGGACAGGGAUUAUUUUACAGAUGGGAAAACUGGCACUCAAAAACCGCGUAUGUGCCAAGACCCCUUCACAAGAUAGCGGCACAGCCAGAAACAGGAUGCAGUGUCACCACAUCAAAACAGAACUGGACACAUUCCUGCAGUCACUUCUCGUCUCUACCCUCACUCAAGGCCAGAUGCUACAUCUCCUUCCUGAAGCUGUGGCAACACGUGGCCAGCCUCCCAGCUCCAGUCCUACUCCCCACCUCCCAUCUGGGCUCUGAUGUUAAGUCAUCUUUCUCAAGCACCAUAGAGUUUAGAAAAAAACGAGACUCCCCCACACCCCAGUCUUCUUCUGUCAUGAGGUGGUGAGAGCUGGGAAGUCUAGAAAUAUUGGCAAGUAAGAGGAGCCAUGGUUGAAGAUUUUCUGGAGAGCCUCUGUUGUCCGGUCAUUUAGAAACCUUGUUCAGAAUCACCCCUGCUA